AACCCAUGGCUCCAACAAGAGUUGCAUGUGAUAUCCCUCCAGGAUGUUUGAUUUCUUGGGCUGUAUCACAGAAAAGAAAGUCAAGAGGAUGAGAGAACAGGAAAAGGAGAGCACUCAGAUAGAAUAAUUCAAUUUUCUACUUUGUGAAGAGAAAAAUCUGUC